GUCACUGUUCCCACAACUUAGCAGUUUGGCAAAAGGGACUGAUACAAUGUGUCAGGCCCCUAAAAAUCAUAAGUACUGGGGUCGAUUCAUUCAACAAAAAUUCAAAACGGUGCCCCAGCAUGGGCCACAGUCUACGAAAGAAAUAAAAGAUAAAAAGAUUGAUUGCAGAAAAUUCUUGGGGUUUCAAAUUGUCACUUGAACUUAAUUCCUAAUGGCUCACUCUACCAAACUGAGAAUUCUUCAUUGCUGUAAACUUUGGAAUCACAGAAAACCUGGCAACUGUUUCGGUAAUUCCCUGUGUUGAGACAAAACAGUUGCAAAGCUUUAUUUUCAUCAUGAUGUGCUGACAUAAAAAUAUUCUCAACUUUCACACCAUUAUGCUGAUAGUUCUAGCACCACCAACCAUCCAGAUAAUUCUAUCAACACCAGCCAUUUAGAUAAUUCUUUCAUCAUCAAGAUAAUUUUAUCGGCACCGCAAUCCAUGUGGUGUCGAUGAAAUGGGGAAAUUAUUUCCACUCCACAUCUGUUUUAUAAGAUGCAAGUGUUAACAUGUUGUGUGUAGUUUGCUUCAGAUUUUCGGUUGUAGCUUGUGUGGAUCUCUGGGUGAUAAAUACAUUGUGUGUGUGUGUGUGUGUGUGUGAGAGAGAUUUAUUUUCACUGUCUGCAAGUCUUUUAGUGCUGAGGUAGUAAAGUUAUUUGAUUUGAUGACAGAGUCAAAUGUGGUUUGACCUUUGGUUUUUCUGUUUUGAAUUGUCACAGUUUUUGGGGGUAAAAAAAACAACUCAAUUUUAGGAGCCUUUUGUACAUCUCUUUGUUCAUCUCUUUUAAUGUUAUCACAGUUAUUGAGAUAUACUUUGUUGUCAAAGUUAUUGAAAGACCUUCUCAAAUAUUAUUUAACACUCCAUUGCAGGUGUUUAAAAAUGUAGCUCAACACUCCAUUUAAAGCAUUCAACAACAUUCUUUUAAUUCCAAUUUACUGCAUUAAAUUGAUUUAAUUAAAUUAAAUUAAAUUCGAAUGAAAUUCAUCUCACUAGACUAAACUUUUUGCAGCAUUAAAAAUGUAGUAUUUCUCAUUCCCUUUGAAGAUUUGAAAUAUUGUGGUUUAUUUAAGAAUGAACAUCACUCUUGUGAUAAUAGUGUCAAUUUGGUGUUUUGCUAUUUUGUGUUUAAUGUGUGAAAGCAAAGUGUCAUUAGACUAUUUAGUUGUUUAACAGUGCUGUUGUUAAAUAUGUCUAAUAAUUUAGUGCUGUAAGUGCACCUUUUUAAAGUGUUUAGAAAAGUAGUGAUCGACUCUGCAGUGUCAAAGCAGUGUAAUCCAGCACUCCAUUUUAAUUGUUCAACAGUUUUAUGAAGCAAAUGAAAUUGUGAGACAAUUCUUUAGUCUUUAAAGGGUAGGAUUUAACACUCCAUUUCAAGUGUUGCACAGCCUGACUCAGAACUUCAUUCUGAAUUAUUUAACAGUCUUAAAUAACUUUUGGUUGCUAGACUUUAUACAUAUAAAGUGUUGUUGUGUUUAUAUAUAUAUAUAUAUAUAUAUAUAUGUAUGUAUAUUGAAUGAUGAAGCCUAGAUCAACUUCAGUGCAUUGCAAUCUGAUGAUGGCUUAACUGGCCAAAACUUUGAAGCCACUGUCAAUCAAAUUCUU